rfam:Lactobacillus salivarius TCC118, complete genome.
UGUUAUCUUUAAAUAUAUACUUAUAUAUCGUCAUAAUAUGGGUGACAGUUUCUACCCAGGACCUUAAAUCUUGGACUAUAAGUAAUUAAGCAUAGUAU